GGUAAAAGCAGCCCAGUGGUUACGACCUAGGCUAACUAUGGCUGAUAUCGAGCGUUGGAAAAAUGUACCAACAGCAUAUUUUAUACGAAACUACCAAAGAUUAAGGGAUGAAGUAGUAGUAGAAAAGAAGAAGCUACCAGAUUACAAUGCCAUAUACAAUCGUCAACAAACUGUGUAC